GCUUUAUUUUAGCAAAAAAUAAAUCUUGUGAAUAAUUGAAAUAUCAGUUAGGAAAUGCACAUAAACAAAUUAAAUAAGCCAAAAGUUCCAAAUGAAAAGAUUAUUACUAAGCCAUUCCAUUUCGAGGUAUUUUAGCACCCAUAUGUCAAUCCUUCUAAACCCAAUGCACUAGACGUCUAUCCAAUGCUAUGGGUGCUUAAUGAACAAUUUGUAUCAUAUAGUAUUAAAUAAUCAAUACUUAUAACUAUGUGGACUCAUAAGCAAGCACCCAUUCUUCUAUACGUGGAUCCGCCAUUGAUCUUACUGUUGUUACUAGUUGCUGCUACUGUUUCUUUUUCAUCUUUCCUUGAGCCGAGGGGUCUAUCGGAAAGAGCCUCUCUACCUUCACAAGGUAGGGGUAAGGUCAACUUAUUUUGUUGUUGUUUUUUAGUAAAUUGUUUCCGGAAAGCUUCUUGUAUAUUCUAUUGGUCUAAGUGAAUUUCUUUCUUGUAUUCAUUUUUUCUGAGACAAAAUUUGUAUUACCAACAUGGAGGUAUGAUAGGGUGGUUUGAGUUGCUUUUGUUUGUUGAAGAUGCCUUCAUUUACUUAACGGCUGGCUUCUUUUCAUUGCUGGAAUCUGAUUCUUGGACAAGUUAGUGUUCAUUUGACUAACAAUAUCCUAUUUUAUGUCUGCUGCUCUGUAAGCUUGAGGCAUUUGAAGUGUGGAAACUUUUUGCUUUGGUUUUAACAGUAGGAUUAUUAUUCCAUAGUACUUAGUUUUGUCUUUUGCAGGAACUCAAAGUAACGAGUUUACACAAUGAAAGGUUUUGUUGAGGUAUGGUCUCCAAAUAUUGUUCGGGCCAAGAAUAGUUGGUGCCACAAGUGACCACAGUUAUAUGUAUCUGGACCUGCCUUCUAACAUGGUCGGUUCGUUCUUGAUGGGUUGGUUUGGUGUGGUCUUUAAAGAGGACAUUUCCAGAUUUUCAACUUCACUGGCCAUUGGAUUGUCAACUGGUUUUCUAGGAAGCCUUACAACUUUUAGUGGUUGGAACCAGAAAAUGCUCGAUCUUAGUGUUGA